UCAGAGCUCCGGGUGAACCAUUCAAGAAAUACAUGUUUGCUGAUGAUGUUUCAAAGAAAGUCACAUCAGUGAACUGGUAGAAGUCACUUAAGCAAGCACUUGGAUUCAAAGACUGUUGAAGUAAUAAUCUCACUUUUAACAGCAGUAGCUGCUUCUGCCAGUGUAGAAAGAAUAUUUUCUUCCUUUGGACAAAUUCAUUCCAAAUUGAGCAAUCGUUUGGGGCCUGAAAAAGCAGGAAAGCUUGUUUUU